GAUUUCUGGGGGACAGGGGUGAUUUUGGAGGUUCAGGGUGAUUUUUCAGGUGUGAGGGAGUGAAUUUGGAGCUCGGGGUGGUUUUAAGGGGUUACGGAGUGAUUUCCCCCCUAUUUUUAACUGUAUUUUGCUGUCUUUUCAUGACUGUGAUUCCCCUAAUCUACCGCAUAUUCGCCAACCACGAGGUUUUCCCGGAACAGAACCAGUGUUCCCUCUAACAGGGAUUCCCAGAUAUUGUUGACUACAACUCCCAGAAUCUCCUGCUACAAUGGCUUUUGCUUGGGGAUUAUGGGAGUUGUAGUCAACGACAUCUGGGAAUCCCUGUUAGAGGAAACACUGAACUUAACCCUUGCAGUUGGAAGAGGGACAACUGUAUAUUGUGUUUAUAUUGUGUCUGUUUUUGCUGAUUUUGUGAGCUGCCCCAGGCAGUUGUGUAUUGGAGGGAUGGGGCCUAAUAUGGUGAGCACCUAGGCAACAGGCUCAGAGAGGCUCUUUACUGAGGGGCAGCUAUCCUACCACUUGGCAAAGAACUGCUCUGAUGGUGGCAGGCAGCAAGGUGAGGCGGCAGAGGGAAUACUCAGAACCAGUGUUCCCUCUAACAGAGAUUCCCAGAUGUUGCUGACUACAGCUUCCAGAAUCCUCAGCUGCAAUAGCUUUUGCUUGGGGAUUAUGGGAGUUGCAGUCAACAACAUCUGGGAAUCCCUGCUACGGGGAACACUGACCAGGAGUGGUGAUGGAAGGGGCAUAGGGAGCUGGCCAGUGGCUGAAGGUCAAAGUCCUGCCAGCGGCUCCUCCCCCCUGUGAUUUUGAAUCGCCUCGUUUCUGAUUUUUGCCUCCUCACGAUUAAACAAACCACUGACUGGGGGAACUCUGCCACACCCCCUGCUGGCCACGCUCCUGCAUCUAACAUCAAAUACAGGGGGUGUGGCCACUGGCCCAGGAGAGGGUCCAUUCUGACCCUUUCCCCAUCCUCCUCAUUCAGCAUUACAUUGACAUGUUGACUGGCUCGGCUUUCCCCCCCAGCCUAGCCAGCAUUUCAGGGAAACACCAGCUGGGGAGGAGAGGGGCACACCUCACGCUCCCAGCUGGCAAGCACUUCAUUCACUGGCUGGGCGCGGGAGGGGGCAAGAUGGUGCCCUGGCCAAGGGUGAGGUGGUGCCUUGCUGGCCUCCCAGACCCUGGCGGCCGAGGGACAGUCGUCCCCGCUUGCUCCAUUGUUCCCACACCCCUGGGUGAUGGUCAGUCAGCCACAUAGCACUACUCUCUGGAAAUCAAUGUGUGUACAAAGUCCAGUGUGUUCCAGAUGAAUGAUAGAAACUCGAAGCAAUUCAGCGAAAGACAGAGUGAGGUUCCAAACUUAAUGACUGGAUCAGACCAAGGGCAAUUCACUCAUGGAAUCAGCCAGCAAUGCAGGCAGCAGCCCUGUAGGUGACCGCCUUUCCAUCUCCAGCGAAGAGGGCCUGUGGGCCUAAUACACUAACUGGAGGAGACCCGCAGAUGAAGACAAGCCAUGUGGGGGAGCCCUGAGCCAAUUCGGUUAAGAGAGCUGGCUGAGUGUGCCUUGCACAAAUCCUGGAGUCAACACUUUCUCGACCCCCCAAAUCUUAGAGUCAACACUUCCUUGUCUCAGCUGUGAGAGCUGGGGCAAUCAAAGCAGAAAGCUGGGAGGAGAAAAACAAGAGGAAACAACAGUCUGAUGACUUUCCUUUUCAGUGUGUCCCUGGAUGCCAUUUGUUGGGGGUGGGGGGCUAUCAGCAGCAAUUAGUCAUGGUAGCUAAAUAGAACCUCCAUGUUCAGAAGCAGUUUGCCUCAGAAUACCAGCUGAUGGGAGACCAUACUUGGGGAGCGGGGGCUACUGCUUUCCUGUCCUGUUUGUGGGCUUCCUAGAAGCAUCUGGUGGGUCACAUGGGGAAAUGGGAUCCUGUCCCCAGUCCAGCAGCAGAGCUCUUCUUACGUUCCUGUGCAAAGGAAGGUCCAGAUAGGGGAGGCACAGGUAGUUCCAUGGAGGUAAAAUAACUCAGGGAAGAGUUAUUCAGGCUGGAAGGAAGAAGCAGAAUUUCUAGAAACAGUUAAAGCCUUCCACUGAGGAGAACGGCCAAAAAAAAAAGGCAGGGAAAUUGACAGCGCUUAACCAGCAUGGUUAAGUCAUCAGGUCUGUUUUUAGUUUAAUCCUCUGCGUAUAUACUAAUUACCUAUAAUGCUAUGUGGGAAACCACAGGGAGAAGAACAUUAUGUACCUAUUAAAGUUCAAAAAGAAAUACUA